ACAGCCUUAGCCUUUCUAUGCCUUUGACUAAAAUACCUCCAAGUCCCGAGAUGGGCCUCUCUGCUCCUCCUGUUCAUCUAUUGGGAGGAGACCACAGUCAGUUCCUGACAAUCAUGAGAACGAAAUGUCCAGUCUUCAGGAAGGGUAUUUUGAACUGUGUAAGUGAGAAGAGCUGUCUGAGCACCAGCCAGAAUGCAAGUGUGCUGUGACCCGCUGCCUCAAACACCUCUUACCUUCACUUCCUUGGCAAUGGACCAUAACCUGGAACUGCAAGAAAAGUACAGCUGUGCAGAAAAUCACAAAGGAGGAGGGAGAACUCCACAUUGAAGGAUAUAAAAUGCAUCCCCCCUGAGACUGUGACAGAAAGUGACCUCUGACCAGAGCAACCUGGAGGACAACAAGUGACAGGAGAAAACAACGGUCCCUUGAAGGAGUGGGUAGAUACAAAGAUUAAAGGAACUCGGAAGGCUUUGCAGCAAGUCUGACCGGGACCUGGAGCAACACCUAGAAUACCUUCACGAUGCCAUUGCUGUCUGUCUAAUGAAUAAACCUCCAGAUUCCUCCGAGAACAUCUGUGACAGCGGAGACCCUGAGAGAGUGCAGAGGUUGUGGGCCUCUCUGUGUGCUGCUCAACUCCUGCUUUGUGGCUGGCUACCUUUCACCUAGAAAAAUCUUGCCUUUUCAAAGGCUCUAAAAUUCGGUCCCAGCAAGACCUCAUGCGGUUCAUCCUCACAGCUUCGUGUAUUCCAAUUUCCUGGAGUAAUUGCAUCUGAGCAAGGAACGAAGUCUCUAGCUAAAGAAAUACAAUUUUAAUUGCAAAAAGAA